UGGGGAAUAUUGCACAAUGGGCGCAAGCCUGAUGCAGCCAUGCCGCGUGUAUGAAGAAGGCCUUCGGGUUGUAAAGUACUUUCAGCGGGGAGGAAGGGAGUAAAGUUAAUACCUUUACCCAUUGACGUUACCCGCAGAAGAAGCACCGGCUAACUCCGUGCCAGCAGCCGCGGUAAUACGGAGGGUGCAAGCGUUAAUCGGAAUUACUGGGCGUAAAGCGCACGCAGGCGGUUGAUUGAGUCAGAUGUGAAAUCCCCGGGCUUAACCCGGGAAUUGCAUCUGAUACUGGUCAGCUAGAGUCUUGUAGAGGGGGGUAGAAUUCCAGGUGUAGCGGUGAAAUGCGUAGAGAUCUGGAGGAAUACCGGUGGCGAAGGCGGCCCCCUGGACGAAGACUGACGCUCAGGUGCGAAAGCGUGGGGAGCAAACAGG
rnacentral:rRNA from 1 species